GACGAACGCUGGCGGCGUGCUUAACACAUGCAAGUCGAACGGAGUGGCGAACGGGUGAGUAACACGUGGGUGACCUGCCCUGCACUCCGGGAUAAGCCUGGGAAACUGGGUCUAAUACCGGAUAGUGUGGGAUGGGCCCGUGGCCUAUCAGCUUGUUGGUGGGAUAUUGGCCUACCAAGGCGGCGACGGGUAGCCGGCCUGAGUGGGUGGACGGCCACAUAGGGACAGAGACACGGACGUGACUGCUACGGGAGGCAGCAGUGGGGAAUAUUGCAGAAUGGUCGGAAGACUGAUGCAGCUACGCCGCGUGGGGGAUGACGGCCUUCGGGUUGUAAACUACUAUCACCAUCGACGCGGUAGAUGGAGAAAAAGCACCAGCUAACUACGUGACAGCAGCCGCGGUAAUUC
rnacentral:rRNA from 1 species